rnacentral:misc_RNA from 2 species
AACGCACCUUGCGCUCCUUGGUAUUCCUUGGAGCAUGCCUGUUUGAGUAUCAUGAAAUCCUCGAGGCGAGUCUUUUGCUCACGCGAUCGACUCUGUCUUGGACUUGGAGGCUGCAGAUUCACGUUUGCUCCUCUUAAAUGCAUUAGCUGGAUCUCAGCGAGCUCGGUUCCACUCGGCGUGAUAAGUAUCACUCGCUGAGGACACCCGUAAAAAGGUGGCCGGGAUCGCAGACGAACCGCUUCUAAUAGUCCGUUCGCUCGGACAAUACCUUAUGAUCUGAUCUCAAAUCAGGUAGGACUACCCGCUGAACUUAA